rnacentral:lncRNA from 1 species
GGGGAGACUCUGCAGGGAUACAUCAUUCAGGGCCAAGUGGCCCAGGCUGCGCAGCUGCGUGAAACCUUCAGGAAGCCUGGAAAGGGGAUUCCCACUGAAGUCUGCGAUCUCCAAGGAUUUGCAGAAUUUGAUGCUUUCUGGGAUUUCUGGAAUGUCAUUGCGGGAGAUGUCCAGUUCCACCAGCUGCAUGAAGUUGGCCACCUCGGGGGGAAGUCUCUGGAUCUCAUUGUCACUCAGGCCCAGUUUACGGAGGUUCAAAAGCCUAAAGAAAGGCUUGGGCAGCUCGCGGAGCUGGUUGGCGUCCAGCAGCAGCUCCUCCAGCGAGCGGCUGUAGCGGUAGAUCUCCUCGGGCACGGCCUGCAGCGAGCAGUGCCGCCGGUCCAGCGCCUCCACGUGCCGGUUGCAGCGCCAGAGCGGCGGGACGCAGCGCAGCAUCGCGGCCCGGAUCGGUCCGGGGGCUCCGGGAGCGCCGCGCCGGGAAGGGCCGACCCGGG